GUGCCAGCAGCCGCGGUAAUACAGAGGGUGCAAGCGUUGUCCGGAAUCACUGGGCGUAAAGGGCGCGUAGGCGGCCUGAUAAGUAGGGGGUGAAAUCCUGGGGCUUAACCUCAGGGCUGCCUUCUAGACUGUCCGGCUCGAGCACAGUAGAGGCAGGUGGAAUUCCCGGUGUAGCGGUGGAAUGCGUAGAGAUCGGGAAGAACAUCGGUGGCGAAGGCGGCCUGCUGGGCUGUUGCUGACGCUGAGGCGCGACAGCGUGGGGAGCAAACAGGAUUAGAAACCCCUGUAGUCC
rnacentral:rRNA from 1 species